rnacentral:rRNA from 1 species
CCUGCGGAAGGAUCAUUACCGAAAUCGUGAUCUCUCUCACACCUGUGCACCCGUCUGUAGGUCUUUGACCUAUGUAUUCGAAACACGCUCGCUAUGUAUGGCAUGCAUGAUCAUGAUAAUAAAUAAACAACUUUCAGCAACGGAUCUCUUGGCUCUCGCAUCGAUGAAGAACGCAGCGAAUUGCGAUAAGUAAUGUGAAUUGCAGAUUUUCAGUGAAUCAUCGAAUCUUUGAACGCACCUUGCGCUCCUUGGUAUUCCGAGGCGCAUGCCUGUCUGAGUGUCGUCGAAUUCUCAACCAAGCCCCCCCCCGGGUUUGGCUUGGAUCGGUGGAGGUUGCUGGCGGAGGUCGGCUCUUCUGAAAUCUAUUAGCGAUCGGACCUACUACGGCCUUCCGGCGUGAUAACGAUCGUCGACGGGGCCGGACGGGCUCUGAUCGCUACCCUGGCUAGUUACCUUGACCUCAGAUCAGGCAGGACUACCCGCUGAACUUAA